AUCAAAAGGUUCAUCUUCCUCCAAUAUUUCUCUUUCUAAACUCAAGGAAGAAUAAGAAGCCAUGGAAUCUUGGAUUAAUGAAUUUCAAAAGAGUUUCUUCAUCAAUUUUGUUCAAGGUUCCUUAAUAUAGUAGGUUUCGGCAAGAAAUAGAAUUCUCUUGAUUCAAGGACUUGGGAAGUGUUCUACAAGACAAAGUGUAUGUCCUCAUGAUUCGGGGACAAGUAUUUAGAAGUUUCUUGCAUUUAAUUUGUAAUAGGUUAUGUCUAUUUUUAUUUAUGUCUUUCGAUUGUGAAGGAUCGUGACACUAUCUUUAGGUUCCAUGUCUUGGUUAGAUGACCAUAUGAGAUGUAGGCUUCCGCUAUGAUUUUAUAUAUCAUGUUCUUUAAGUGAAUGAUUUUUAAAUUGAAUGUUUUAAUUCUUUGCCA